rnacentral:sRNA from 4 species
UAUUCUGCCCUACGGGGAAGGAUGAGAAGCUUCGACUAAGGUUCGACUCGAGCGUAGCGAGAGAACGUUGCCGCAGGCAACGGCCCGAAGGGCGAGGCGCUUUAGCGCCGAGUCAUCCUUCCCCCACCACCA